GAGGAAAGUCCGGGCUCCACGGAUCAACGGUGCCGGAUAACGUCCGGCGGGGGCAACCCCAGGGAAAGUGCCACAGAAAAGUAAACCGCCACGGGCGCGUUGCGUUUAGCCUGCGGCAAGGGUGAAACGGUGCGGUAAGAGCGCACCGCGUUUCCGGCAACGGAAGCGGCAGGGCAAACCCCACCGGGAGCAAAACCGAAUAGGAACGGCGCGCGUUUCCGCGCAAGCGGGAAAGCAGAUCGAUCCGGAUCAGCCGUUCGGGUAGGUCGCUUCAGGCACACAGCAAUCUGUGCCGCAGAGGAAUGGCCGUCACGUGCUGCGUUAUCGCGCAGCGCCAUACAGAACCCGGCUUACGAAUUCCGACAGAACCCGGCUUA
rnacentral:RNase_P_RNA from 1 species